GACGAACGCUGGCGGCGUGCUUAACACAUGCAAGUCGAGCGAUGAAAGCCUUAUGAACUAUUCGUAGUGAUUGAGGCCGGAUUAGCGGCGGACGGGUGAGUAACGCGUGAGCAACCUGCCUUAAACAACGGGAUAGCCUCGGGAAACCGGGAUUAAUACCGUAUGAGACCCCGCCUUCACAUGAAGAAGAGGGUAAAGAUUUAUCGGUUUAAGAUGGGCUCGCGGCUGAUUAGCUAGUUGGUGAGAUAAAAGCCCACCAAGGCAACGAUCAGUAACCGGCUUUAGAGAGGAAACGGUCACAUUUGAACUGGGACACGGUCCAAACUCCUACGGGAGGCAGCAGUGGGGAAUAUUGCACAAUGGGGGAAACCCUGAUGCAGCGACGCCGCGUGAGCGAUGAAGGAAUUCGUUUCGUAAAGCUCUGUCCAAGGGGAAGAUAAUGACAGUACCCUUGGAGGAAGCCCCGGCUAAAUACGUGCCAGCCGCCGCGGUAA
rnacentral:rRNA from 1 species